GGAUGCGAUCAUACCAGCACUAAAGCACCGGAUCCCAUCAGAACUCUGAAGUUAAGCGUGCUUGUGCGAGAGUAGUACUAGGUUGGGUGACCUCCUGGGAAGUCCUCGUGUUGCAUUCC
rnacentral:rRNA from 1 species